CACCAUUAUUUUUGUAACUUAACAUUUCGUUUAUUGUUUACAUUCUGUUUGUUUACUUUGUUAGUCUUGUCAAGUAUCAGCUGUCAAAUUCGACACACAGGAUAGAUUUUCAGUUGUUGUCUGUGGUCCUUUGAGAAAACUCGUGCCAGAUCGUCAUCGGACAGUGGUCAGUGGCGACAUGACGCUCAGAACAAUGAUCGUGCUGACUAGCCACAGAGUAGUUUUGUGACGAUGAGCUGACAUCCCCGGUGACGGCUUUUUUCGGAACUGGCAAGGAGGCAAACCAUUCUCUGUCAGAACGUCUCGAGUGGUGUGUGGUUGUUUUUUUCUUCCCGCCCGCGUGGCGCAGGCCGUAUUGGUACCGAGUUCCUUGCUUCAUAUUUCCUGGUGAGUAUUUCGAUCGUGGGUUCAGGUUAUCUGAUUGGUCUACGAGAUAGAUUCUGACUAAGUUGUUUCUUUGCAGUUACCAGAUACGUACCACAGACACCCACGCAGCAUCACACCAUGUGUACCUAACCUGAAUUGCCGAGUGAGUAAACUAGCAUUUCGUUGUUAUUCGAUUUCCGAUGACUUUGGAUUUCGAAAGCCAUCUGCCUUGUCUUUAUUUCUACACGUAGCAACGUCUAACCCCGCGUAUUUCUUUUACAGCAAUUUCAAUCCUGCCCGGUGAAGCGUACGAUUGCCCGACGCGUGUCACCUGACCCAACCCCAAGAAGGUGUCGUUGGUGACCAGAGCCGUCAGCGAGCCACGAGCCGUCCGGAGCUCCUGUCCUGGCCCCGUCCAGCCGUCCAGGUUGGCCGUUGUAUGUUUGUUGAGCGGAUACUGAGGAAUUUCCUUAGGAUUUCCAUUAAUCUUCAGCGGCAUCAGCCUUCUAACGCCGCUGCUGAAUGUAGGAUUGCAAAGGCAGAACCCGGGUGGACUCUAGCGGGUUAAAACCUUUAUUUUAUUAUUUUUUCUUCAUAGGGAGCCCCGAUAGAACGGGCAGUAGUAUCUAAAUUGCACUUUGAACCUUUUGUAGGCGCUAGGCUAUCAACGUCCUUCGGUUACGGGGCCUUAACGUUAAACUGCUAUCCCAUUGAAGUAAUAUAGAAGUUUCUCUGUGGUUAAUACCAUCCUUCUACCCCUGUGGCGUGAAACGCAGCGGUGGAACCUUGGUUUCUCCACUCUUAUAUAAUUUCCUUGCAAUACCUUGUGUACUU